AUUCGACAGAGUUUGAUCCUGGCUCAGGAUGAACGCUGGCGGCGUGCUUAACACAUGCAAGUCGAACGAUGAACCUCGCUUGCGGGGGGAUUAGUGGCGAACGGGUGAGUAACACGUGAGUAACCUGCCCUUAACUCUGGGAUAAGCCUUGGAAACGGGGUCUAAUACUGGAUAUUGACUUUUCCUCGCAUGGGGAUUGGUUGAAAGAUUUAUUGGUUUUGGAUGGACUCGCGGCCUAUCAGCUUGUUGGUGAGGUAAUGGCUCACCAAGGCGACGACGGGUAGCCGGCCUGAGAGGGUGACCGGCCACACUGGGACUGAGACACGGCCCAGACUCCUACGGGAGGCAGCAGUGGGGAAUAUUGCACAAUGGGCGAAAGCCUGAUGCAGCGACGCCGCGUGAGGGAUGACGGCCUUCGGGUUGUAAACCUCUUUCAGUAGGGAACAAGGCCAGUGUUUAGCUGGUUGAGGGUACUUGCAGAAGAACGCCGGCUAACUACGUGCCAGCAGCCGCGGUAAUACGUAGGGCGCAAGCGUUAUCCGGAAUUAUUGGGCGUAAAGAGCUCGUA
rnacentral:rRNA from 1 species